rnacentral:pre_miRNA from 1 species
GGCCCGAAUUUGAAGUAGAUCAGGUCUGAAGGAUCAUCUGACCCUACUGAACUACUCUACUUUGAGUUCGUGCCC